UACGUAGGGGGCAAGCGUUGUCCGGAAUUAUUGGGCGUAAAGCGCGCGCAGGCGGUCUUUUAAGUCAGGUGUUUAAGCCCGGGGCUCAACCCCGGUUCGCAUCUGAAACUGGAAGGCUUGAGUGCAGAAGAGGAGAGUGGAAUUCCACGUGUAGCGGUGAAAUGCGUAGAUAUGUGGAGGAACACCAGUGGCGAAGGCGACUCUCUGGUCUGUAACUGACGCUGAGGCGCGAAAGCGUGGGGAGCAAACA
rnacentral:rRNA from 1 species